rnacentral:rRNA from 1 species
GAUGAACGCUGGCGGCGUGCCUAAUACAUUCAAGUCGAGCGAACGGACGAGAAUCUUGCUUCUCUGAUGUUAGCGGCGGACGUGUGUGUAACACGUGUAUAACCUACCUAUAAUACUUGGAUAACUUCGUGAAACCUGAUCUAAUACCGGAUAAUAUUUUGAACCGCAUUGUUCAUUAUUGUAAUACGGUCUUGCUGUCACUUAUAGAUGUUUCCGCUCUGCAUUAGCUAGUUGGUAAGGGAACGUCUUACCAAGGCAACGAUGCAUAGCCGACCUGAGAGGGAGAUCGGAAAAACAGGAACUGAGACAAGGAAAAGAAAACUACGGGAGGCAGCAGUAGGGAAUCUAGCGCAAUGGGCGAAAGCAUGACGGAGCAACGGCGAGUGAGAGAUGAAGGUCUAAGGAUCGUAAAAAUCUGUUAUUAGGGAAGAAAAUAUGUGUAAGUAAAUGUGCACAAAGUGACGGUAACUAAUCAGAAAGAAACGGCUAACGACGUG